rnacentral:lncRNA from 1 species
UGCACUGCCAUAGCAACAUUUUAAUACAAACACAGGGCAAUCUUUGUUCACUGAAGUACACAGCUCUUUUUUUUCUUUCUCUUAUUAACAGAACCUGCAUCUGCAUACAGUUUAACUGAAUGUCAUAGCAACAACAUAAACACAAAUCCAAGAUAUUUUUUCCUUUAGAGGGAGGAAGAAUAAAUGUUUUCAGGAAAAGAGCGUGGGACUUCAGAAAGCAGAAUGAAAUGUUUGUGACCAAACAUGGCCUGAAGUUACAUCAUCACAGCUGUAUAUUUACUCUUUGAAAGCUUGCUCUUGCAAGGUGUUAUUCAUUCUCAGCUCCUACAGAUGUCAACAGAGAACAGCCGUAUCUGGCAGGGCGAGGUCUGAAUCACAGCUCUGCUUAGAGACAGCACGCCGGUGGGAUGCGCCAUCACUGCUAUAGUGAACUUGGAGAUUUAUGCAUUUUUUAGACUUUACUCCUAAUGCAAAACUGGAGUAACACAAAUGGGCCUGGCCUGCCUCUAAGACCUAGCACCAACCACACAUUUUGCCGCAUGACCCUCUUUUCCUCUAUGGACCUACAAUUCCUAAUGCAAAGAUAAACUACAGGAAAACCUGGAACUCAGAUGUGUUCAUUUGAAACUUGGCUGUUGCCCUGACAGGGGCUGUAACACUGUUUAUCCACGACAACUCAAGAACUUAUGCCUCAUGCACCCAGGAAGUAGUACAGGAAAGGGAAAGACCCAAGUUCUCUCAGACGGCUGACUCAACCCCACCUCUCAGCUAUUACUAUGUGCUUAGCUAUGCUCUAUUUUUGUCCUCCAGGGCUUGUGAAAGGGAUGACUUCAUUAAGCUUUUAAUUUUUCUAAGUAGCGUGUUCAUUCAGGACAAGAGCCUUUACUCUUUGCUUUGUAAGCUGAUGGUCCUUCAGCUCAAGCAUGCUGUGAGUGUUCAGGGCUUGAAACCUGCAAAAUCUAACCAUUAAAAGAAAUGCUGUAACAACGCUACACACAAAUAGCUUGUUCCUUCUGUGACUAGUGGUUUACAGAGGAAAAUAAAUGAGUAAGUGUAGUAGGCAUACAAUCGAGCACUCAACACAAGCUGGUGUUGAAUGAUGAAGAUUAAAACAACAUCAGACAGUUUUCAUUCACAAACAUCAUCUGCCCUGAAUCAAGGCAGAGUCCUGUAGGGAUCCUUGUACAAUAUGACUACAAUAGCAUGUCUUCAAGAUGGACAGAACCGAGCCUUCCACACAGCCUCAGCUCCAUGUUUUAAAUUUUAAGUGCUUGACCAGAAAUUUUCAAAUACAGCUUUUAAAGAUGUGUUUUCUCUCUUCAGUUUAUUACAAGAUGCCCAUUCUGGGUUUAAGUCACUCGGAAAGGAAUUAAAAUCUUCCCCUAAUUGCCUGUGAAAGUGUUACAAACCAUCUGCCUAGCCAAAGGGUGCAUAAACUUUGAUUAAAUCAGUAACCUUAUUAUUAUGAAGAAUUACGACUGUUGCAGGACCUGCACUGGUCACUUGUCAUAAGUAAGGCUGUGCUUUUAGCCAGACACCAUCAUUUUGAUUCAUUUUUAUAAACAAAGACUGAAAAAGUUUAGUAAAACCAAAGAAAAAUAUUUGAAUUUCAUCUUGGCCUGCAUUUGAUGAAUCUCCACAGUUCGAACUAGUGUAACUGUUAUCAAAACUAAAUAAAAAUACAUAAACAGUAACCUGGGACUGAAUGGCAAAUGCUGCCAAGGCCUUUUACUCUCAAUCUGACUGAACUCUUGAAGAUGAUUACUAGCUUUGUUUGGGAAAUUUCAUUUCUAGUAACCAUCAUGGGAAUGCUCCUUAAUAAUUUUUAAAGCCUUCUUUAAGGUAGGAAAAGAUUUAAAUCUGGAGGAGUGAUUUAAUGGCAUCUUCAUUUAAAAACAAAUUACAGUUGUAUUUGACACACGAGGAAGCUUAAACUAGAUUUAUAUAAGAAAAGAAAAAAAACCCCACAGGCAAACCAUUUCAUGCAAUUAAUGAAAGCCUCCAUGAGCAUAGGAAAGCAAUGCAAAUUACAACUCUGCCUUCCUCAGCCAAAGACUAAUCACACACACAUGCAGAUCAACACUAAUAUUUGCAGCACUCUCAUUUCCAGUGUGUGCUACGAAUCUUAACAGAAAUGCCACGCUAUUACUCUGGAUGAAACAUUUUCUGGCAAGUGAACUGUGGCAGUUUUGCUGUUCUGCUCUUUUAUCAGUGUUGUUAUGAACGAGUUCAAGACUGGUUUAAAGUAAUUUGUGGCUACCAAGUCAAUGUGUAGUCAUCACUGAUUAGGAAAAGUUUAUUCACUUUCACUGGACCGAGAAAGAUUUGAAGGAAGCACGCAUAGCUAGGAAUCUUGGUCCUUUAAAAAGGGUUAAAAAACCAAACGUUGAAACAAGAGGUGGGCAGAGGACCAACGAUGACUAAAAAAUACAACAGAGCACAGGUGGUUACUGCCACGCAAGAAGAAAAACCUCUCUGUUUUUCCAGGGGCUGCAAAACACACAAGGGCAAGGACACGCAGUACCACUGUAAGAAACAGCAUUAUGUGACUACAGCGGUCUGACACGCUUGCCAAACUUCAGUAGCUAUGUCAUGGCAAGCAGUUUUUUAAUGACAAUUUGUGAAGGUGUGAAAAACUCCCAAACUUCUAAGACUUUGACCAUCUCAAAAAUCCCCUCCACACAGCAUGACUGGUAAGGAACCAACAGCUCGAUGGCCUGAAGUCAAGACUGAGAGUCUGGAAGCCCAAGCCCUCUCACCUAUUGCUGCCACAGCCUCCUGUUACCUAAACAAGUUACUCACUCUUACUCACAUUUGUAGGCACAGAACUCUGCCUGGCCUGCCCUGCUCCUCCCAGUUAAGUUCCUGCACUGCUUUCUGUUGUCUUUCUACCUGCAAGGUCAGUGCUGGCAGGAAGUACACUUAUGAUUGAAAAACCACCUCCAUGGCAGUUUAGUGUGCAUCCCAUGCCACUGACUUCUGUCACAGAGGUGCCAGUCUCAAGCAGAAGACAAACAGACCAGGGAACAACAAUGGCAGCAACAACCUCACACAGCUGUUCACAAAGUGAUUCAUGUCCUGAAGACAUCACAAAUGCUGACUUAGCCAGCCCCUUGCAAACUAUUCCCAAAGGGCCAACCUGUCUCACACCGCUCGCAGCACACACUGUCCUCGUCCUCCAGCAGACCCC